AUGACUUUCAAAACAAGUGAUGCAAAAAGUGCCACAAUGUAUGAUGUGUUGUAUAUUCCAAAGCUGUCAGGGAAUUUAUUUUCAGUGGGAGCAGCUAUCAGGAAAGGCAACACAGUGCAGUUCAGAAAGUCUCACUGUUACAUACGUGGAAGAAAUGGAACCCUCCAAGGAAUGGGAACACAAAGAGCUGAUGGACUUUAUCAGCUGGAUGUGAAGAAGGACGUACCUGUUUGUCAUAGUGCAUCACUAGCAACCAGCUUAUGGCACCAGCGGUUGGGUCACACUACCAAGCUUAAAGAACUGAAAGAUCUAGUGAACGGAGUGGACUUCUCCACAGAAACAGAUGUUUCUUUCUGUGAGGCAUGUGUGGAAGGUAAACUGUCUAAACAGCCAUACAAGUCAAUUGGAGGAAUUCGUUUCAAACACAGAAUGCAGCUAAUUCAUAGUGAUGUCUGUGGUCCCAUGCAGACUGAAUCUAUUGGUGGAGCUAAAUAUUUUGUGACUUUUAUUGACGAUUACUCUAGAUGCUGCAAAGUGUAUUUCCUGAAACACAAGAACGAGGUGUUAAACACAUUCAAAGAAUUUGAAAGAACAUUCACAAAUGAGUGUGGACAAGCUGUUAAAAGACUCAGAACAGACAAUGGGGGUGAGUACACAUCAAGAGAGUUUCAAGAAUAUUUGAAAGGUCAAGGCAUCCAACAUGAAGUGACUGUACCUCACUCACCACAGCAAAAUGGUGUUGCAGAGAGAAAAAACAGGACAUUAGUUGAAGCAGCUAGAAGUAUGCCGUCACAUGCUAAGUUGCCAAAAAUGUACUGGGCGGAAGCUGUAGCCACAGCAGCUUACAUUCAGAACAGACUGUCUAAAUCUGUACUGAAGCAAAAGACACCCUAUGAGAGAUGGUGUGAAAAAAAACCUGACAUGAGUCACAUGAGGGUUUUUGGAUGCAUUGCUUAUGCACAUAUUCCAGGUGAGAAGAGACAGAAACUGGACAAGAAGGCUAUGAAGCUACGCUUUUUAGGCUAUGCAAGCAACACUAAGGGUUAUCGUCUAUAUGAUGAAGAGAAAAGGAGGAUUUUAAUCCGCCGGGAUGUUGUUUUCAAUGAAACAAACUUUGACUGGAAACAGAAAGCAGAAGAGUCUCAUCUUGAAAAUGAGGUAACUGUGGACACAAAUGAGAAUGAAACACAUGAAGUCACUGCUGACGACACAGUCAGAAGAAGCGACAGAAUAAGAAAGGCUCCAAAGCGAUUUGGAUACGACGAGUUUGCUGAAACAGUCGUCGUUGAUCAUCAUGCAAAUAUGUGUUGUGUGACAGAGCCACUCACAAUGACAGAAGCUCUGAAAAGUCCUAAUGCAAAGGAAUGGCAGGAAGCAGCUGAUCUGGAAUAUGAGUCGCUGCUAGAAAAUGAGACAUGGGAUCUAGUGGAUUUACCAAAAGAUAGAAAAGCUGUAGGUUCAAGAUGGGUGUUCAAAGUCAAGCAU
rnacentral:lncRNA from 1 species